rnacentral:rRNA from 1 species
UACGGGGGGUGCGAGCGUUGUCCGGAAUCACUGGGCGUAAAGGGCGCGUAGGUGGUCUUAUAAGGGUGUGGUGAAAUCCCGGGGCCCAACCCCGGAACUGCAUUCGAAACUGCCUCGCUAGAGUCCCGGAGAGGAAGGCGGAAUUCCCGGUGUAGAGGUGAAAUGCGUAGAGAUCGGGAGGAAGGCCGGUGGCGAAGGCGGCGCUCUGGAACAUUUCUGACGCUGAGGCUCGAAAGCGUGGGGAGCAAACAGG